rnacentral:rRNA from 1 species
UACGAAGGGGGCUAGCGUUGUCCGGAAUUAUUGGGCGUAAAGAGCUCGUAGGCGGUCUGUCGCGUCUGCUGUGAAAACUCAGGGCUUAACCCUGAGCUUGCAGUGGGUACGGGCAGACUAGAGUGCGGUAGGGGAGACUGGAAUUCCUGGUGUAGCGGUGAAAUGCGCAGAUAUCAGGGGGAACACCGGUGGCGAAGGCAGGUCCCUGGGCCGUAACUGACGCUGAGGAGCGAAAGCAUGGGGAGCGAACAGG